AUACAAACUUAUAAUCUCUAAUAACACUAAUAAAAAAAUAAAAAAUAAAAGAGUUUAGUUAGACAUAUGUGAAGAUGAUAUAAAAAUGUGUGUUCAUUAUAAAAAAACAUAACAAAAAAGAAAGAUAAUAAUAAAAUAGUACAAUGUCAGAAAAUGUAUUUGAAAACAAAUAAAAAAAACAUAAACAAGUUAGAAAAAUAAACAACAUCCAACGUUAACUAAAAUGAAUAUAAUAUCUCUCAUCACUUAAAAUUUUCUAAUAGAGAAAUA
rnacentral:lncRNA from 1 species